UAUAAAUUCCCCAAAAAUGUGAACUGGGAAUAUAAAACUGACACUGAUUUAUAUGAAUUUGCCAAGUGUAAGGCUUAUCCAACCAGCGUAUGUUUUUCACCAGAUGGGAAGAAAAUAGCUACUAUUGGUUCUGAUAGAAAAGUUAGAAUUUUCAGAUUUGUAACUGGAAAACUCAUGAGAGUCUUUGAUGAAUCACUAAGCAUGUUUACUGAACUGCAACAGAUGAGGCAACAGUUACCAGACAUGGAAUUUGGCCGACGAAUGGCUGUAGAACGUGAGUUGGAGAAGGUUGAUGCUGUAAGAUUAAUUAAUAUAGUUUUUGAUGAAACUGGACACUUCGUGCUGUAUGGAACAAUGCUGGGCAUUAAAGUUAUAAAUGUAGAGACAAACCGGGGAUAGCCAAAAAGCAUCGUGCUGCAACUACUAUAGAAAUGAAAGCUUCUGAAAAUCCUGUUCUUCAGAAUAUUCAAGCUGACCCAACAAUAGUCUGUACAUCAUUCAAAAAGAAUAGAUUUUAUAUGUUUACCAAACGAGAACCAGAAGAUACGAAAAGUGCAGAUUCUGAUCGAGAUGUUUUUAAUGAGAAACCUUCUAAA
rnacentral:lncRNA from 1 species